ensembl:lncRNA
GGGUACUGUAGCGCACUAGGAUGAGCCUAGGCUGCAGACCGAGAAAGAGGCCUGGGGUGCGCCAUAGUCCCGGGGCGCCUUAGGGUUCUGGUUGCUGAGGCGGACUCCCAUCGCCAAAGUCGAGGGGAUCCUUUCUGCACCGUGCAUCGCGACCCUGCUGAGUUAAGUUAGUUUCGCUUUUCCCGCCAGUACGAGCUCUGAUUUGCAGUGGUCACAACUGUCCUAGUCCCCCUUCCCGAUCUCCCCUUUCCGAUCCGGCCCGGUAGCGCCUCUCUCUGGGAGACCGCCUGGUGACACUGUGCGAGGCGCCAGCCACCCCGGAGCCGCCGAUGCUUCUCCCGGGCAACCGAGGUUAUGUCAGGAAAUCGAUGGAAACAGAGAAACAAGAGCAGCCUGAAUCGGCUGGUGGAGCAGCGGGUUGGGUUGUCCCGCGCCUGAGGAGUGUGCAAGGACUCGUUAAUUUCCAAGUUUAAGGAUGUGCCAUAGCAAAGACUGAAUGUUCACAAAUGGUGCCUCUAAAGAUGCUCGCCAGCCAGGAAAUUGUGGUGUGCUUUUGCGAAUGAGAAUGUGUCCUCGAGUGUUUCUGGGAGUGACGGUGUAUCGUGAAUGCGUGUGUUUCCUAAGUGUUCUUGCCUGUCUGUGAACAUAUUUCUGUGGCACAAGCAUGUGUUGGUACACAUCUCUGUGUGUGUUUCUGUGUGUGUGUGUGUGUGUGUGUGUCCACUGCCAUCCAGGAUAACCCAGCAGUGGGGUGGCCAUUGGCUCUGGAAGGUUGUGGAGUAUGACUCCCCUUGCUUGGUUGGUUCUGGUAAGUGGAGUUGCUGGAGUGUUGGCCGGCACCUUUUCAGAGAAGCUUCUGCCAGCUGAGCAAGGCUCAGGCUCCUCUCUCUUCCCCUCUCUUUUUCUCUGAAAGCAAACUGUGCAGUGUGGUGGUGAGCUGGCAGAGGCUGCUUCCUGAGUGAGUAAUAUUUAAUUAAACCCUCUAGUUAGUAACAUCAGAAACUGCUCAUGAGCUGAGUUUUAACAGGUGUUUAUCCCCCAUGAUGAAGAUUUGGUGUCCUUGAAGAAGGCUCAGGAUCGGGCAGACACACACACACACACACACACACACACACACACACACACACACACACACACACAGUGAGGUAGGAUGACCUCGAGGGAGUUGACUUUCUUCUUAAUUGUUAGCCUCUAGGAGAGAGUGGGAUUGCUUUUCCUUUUUGCCCCACGCCUUCCUAACUUGCAUCUCUGAGAGGCAGAAAGCACUACACUAACAUUAGUGGUACAGACAGAAGGGAUCGUGCAGUCAGAGAAGCACUACAUCAUUUAGAGACUAUCUAGCUAGACCAACCCUUUCCCAGUGGAGGCCCAGAGAGGUUGGGAGAUUUAGCUGAAGUGCAUAGCCAGGGUUAUGCACCAAGACUAAAUCCCGGCUGUUGGUCACUGUCCCUAGCCCUGAGGUCAUAGGCAAAGUGACCAGGCUGGAUUAGAUCAUCUGAAACAUUUCUCCUUCUCCUCUUAUUGCAGGGAGCACAUCUUCCAGUAGAUCUCAGACGUUCUCUAGAUGGGAGAUAUGGAGUUUCUGAAUCCGGAAACUUUACAAGUCCUUUUCUUGCUUGGCCUGUAUCCCACUCAAAUCAGCCAGACCAAAACCUGGGGAGAAGCCAUAACUGUCAGAGUCUUAGGAAGGCCUGGUCUUGCCUGGGGCCCUGGAUGAGGUCACUUAGGGGUAAAUUAGGCUUUGCCAGUGUGAGGCUGUGCCAGCAAGGGUGGACACACCCUUCAAUGGGUUCCUCAUGGCUGCUGCAUAAAACAGGCCCCCGUGGAAUCAGCAUAGACGUUCAAUUUCUCCUUGCUCCCAGGGGCACUGCUGCUGUUGAUGGGGAUGCAGACGCUUCCUUCCUGAGCCUGCUACCCUCUCCGGGGUGGAUGAAGCUGGAGGCAGACGCAUCUGUCUCCGCUUUAUCUAGGUCUUUGCGCGUCUCACCAUGCUGUGAGUUUAAUCUAGGGAGUUCGCACCAGUCCCUUUCAGAAAUAGCGUGUGGCCAAUAUCCGUGAGUUGAUUCGUCUUUUUUGUCACGGUGCACAGCGCAUGGCAGGUGUGCCUCCGUGGGUCAGGGCCCACUUUGUGGUCCCUGCCUUCACCGAAAGCCAAAUCAGUGAGAGCUAGAGCAAAAGGCUGCCCGUCACCCGGGGCUCUCAGUGCCGUGCCCACCCUUCUGCAGAUGGCAUCCUCGCCAUCAGGCUCUGCUGUGAGUCCUCAUCACACCCCUGCUGGGCAACAGCUAGGACUGGUGCCAGGCUCCUUGACACAUCGGGUGUCUACACUUCCCAGGCGCUUAGACUGGGCGCUCUAGAGCUCCCAUCCCCCUUUGCCCCAGCAGGUUACUUAACCAAGGUCUGUUUGCCAUUGAAGGGUGGAGUCAAAACUCCAACCCAGUCACCAUCACCAUCACAGUGUGCCUCUCUUCUGCCUUGCCUGUCCCUUCUGUGUUGUUUGUUAAAAUAUUUAUUAUUGCGUGUGUAUGAUGUGUGUGUGCGUGCCUGUGUGUGUGCAUUUGUGUGUGUUGUGUGUGUGUGUGCGCAUGCGUGUGUGCAUGUGUACCAGUUUGUGGCACUUUGUCUGCUGAACCAUCUUGAUAGCCCCUGUUAGCUUUAUAAACGAAUUUUCUGUUGCUGCAAAAAAAAAAAAAUUCAAUCAUCUGCUUGUGGAAAGGAUCGUAUGAUGAAUGAGUCUUCAUAUUCCUUCACAAAUUUUGAGGGUGAACAUGUGCACAUACAUGAGAACGUACCUGCACAUACACAAGUUGCAAUGUUCAGAAGCAGAAAUAGGUUGUUAAAUUACCUACCGUACCUUGUAAGAUGUAUUUAAGGGGAGAAUCGGGUUAAAAUCAGACCCCGUGAUUCCCUCCAUAUGAGGGUGAGAUAUGUGUGCCAUCUUGUGUGUCUUCACUUCCUGACUUUGAAGCUGAGGAUGAUGCUAUGGUGAAUGAAGACCUUGACUAUGCCGCCAGCAGCCCGUCAGGGGCUCCAGCCUUGGGCCCGCUCUUCAGAGCUCCUGGGUAGCGCCUGGUUUAUUUAGCAUUGUAAAAGUUCUGUCGGUUGCCUAAUAUUAAAAACAAUGAGUCUGAGGGUCAUGAGGCAAACCACAUCGGUUUAGGGCCUCUUGGCCUCCCUGAAGAGUUGGGCAAGAGAAGCCACCAAGGCACAGCCCCGCUCUGCCUGCUGUGGAGGCCCAGACCUUGUGCAAUGCUUGUGCAGGGGGUGACGGCAGGCCUGGGUGUUAAGAAUGAGAGAGGAUUUGUCAACACAUUCUGGAUUAGACCUCAACACAAACUUUAACUAUUCAACCUGCUGUGCUGGCUGUGGCUGGAAGGGUCUGAAAGCCCCUGCUUUGCCCCAACUUCUGCGUGCUCUGAACUGAAGGGAGGGGUGUUGGGAUGUAGCCUCCACACUCAGGGAAGGACAGCUGAGGGGGACUUUGGCAUCUCAGGGUUGGAGGGCCCCGCCUGUGACAAGGUCUCUACUCUGCCUCUCACAGUGACCCCUGCUUGCCAGGUUAGCUAUGUGACUAUGACGCUGCCAGUUGUUUUGGGGGGCCACCUUGACUGUUUUUUUUUUUUCUUUUUUUCGGAGCUGGGGACCGAACCCAGGGCCUUGCGCUUGCUAGGCAAGCGCUCUACCCCUGAGCUAAAUCCCCAACCCCGCCACCCUGACUGUUAACGUUAUACCCGUGUAAGUUGCCUUUCUUAUUGCUAUAACAAAAUAUCUGAUUUUGUUAUAUAUAUUUUGAAAAUACAACAAAGAACGACUUAAAGAAAAGGCUGUUCUAUCAUCUUGGGGAAGAUGUGAGAAUAGAGGCUGAAGGUGCCUGGUGUCAUGGUGUCCAAAGUCAGAAAACAGCAACAUUAAAGUGCUUGUACUCAGUCCUCCUUAUCCUGUUCAGUCAGCCCAUCCUGGACAGUGCCACUUGGAAUCAAAGCGGGUCUUCCCCUCCUCUUGGAACAGCCUCACAGACAGACGCACUAAGAGUGUCUCUGAGGUGAUUGCAAAUCCCAUCAAGUUGACAAGGAAGAUUAAACGUCACAGCGCCCCUGUUUGGUGAGCAUCUGCUUCCCCCACUUGUCAUCCCACCCUUAAGGUACAAGGGCUCUCUCCCAUUGGGUCACCUUCCUUUGUGUCGUCUUACCCGUGCACAGGGAGCUGCCUUCCAAAGGAAUGUACGUGUCUCCUAGUUCCCUGGGAGGAAUCCACAAGCCCAUGGGGUAGAUUCUGUGGGUAUGGGGUCAUGGUGGCAGGGGACAUGGGUCUGCUGACAGUCGAGGUUGAGAUUGUUAGUGUUGCAGUGUCAGGAGUUACGGGGGACACUAACAGGUUGGUUGGCCCGCUGAAACAUGAAAAGCUGGCACACUGUGUCCACUGGAGUUGCCAAGCCUCUGGGGUCAGUGGAGGAAGGGUCAGCAGCAGCUGGAAAGAUUGGGCUUCCAGAGGGGCGGAUCACUCCCACUUCAGACCUCACCGCCCAUCCUGGGAGGGCCCAGAGGGCGAACUUCCUUCCCACCAGUACUCUGGGAAAUAGAUUUGGGAGACCCACUCUGAAGUGCGGCUUGCGCUUCUCUGACCUUCUGUGGAAACCCAUCCCUGAGAACCCUCGAGUGGGUAGGAGUAAUCGGAUGGACGUGGGGGAGAAGGAGGCUGAGAGGUGGCUCUCAACCUCCAAGGGCACGGUGGGUGUAAUUAGUAAUUACCAUAAUGGGCGGUCGAGCGAAGCAGUAAUCACAGCCGUCUGGCUCGUGCAGACCUCUGGGGCCGGCGAGUUAAUCACCAUGUUCCUAGGAGCCUAGGAGCGAAGCAGAUGAGAAGAAGCCUGCUGCGUUCUUGACUGUCCAAGCAAAAGGCCUCCGGGGUGAGCAAACCCAAGUGUAACUCAGAUCAUAGAAACAGAGGCGUGGGCUCUCAACUCGUCCCACCUGAGCCCAGCGACAAGGAGGCUGGGCCUACCCGAGUUCACCCGAGUCACUCAGGAAGAAAGUGGACACUGUUAAUCUUUCGGCUAGGCCUCCCCGAAGGGCCUUAAGGUCUUUGACCGGGAUGGCUGUACACUAGGGGACAGGAAGUAAUCAGAGAACCCGGGGGGCCUAGUGGAUUGUUGUCCAUGAGUUGACUCGAUUCCAGGACACUGGAAUGCUGUUGUGGUCCUCUCUUCCCAGAGGGGCUGGUGGGGGUCACGUGAUCAGUGGAGUUUUAGCUUAGACCCAACUUAGAGGAUGCAGUGGGUCCCUGAACAUAUCUGUGGUUAUUUUUUUUUUCUUAAUAUAACGGGGACAGAAAGUAUAGCAGCCAGCGUAAUCAUCACAUUGACUCUGACCCGUGAGCAAGACCAGGGUCGAAUGGAAAUCAUUAGAAAUGUGUUCAGCCGGAGAGAGACGAUAAAUCGAUGAGAGCAGUGAUGUAUCUCUCAGAGGGUUUUCAGAGAUGAGCACCCUAUCAAGGGUUUGAGAGGCGCCAAGGGUGGCGGUCUCCCCACCCACACCCCCAUUCAACUCGACAAGCACAGGUAGGCUAUGCCAAAGGCCUCUGGGUCUUAGAGAAUGACAUUGCUUAUCCUUAAAUGGAGCAAGUGGUGACUCCAGCUGCAGCUGCUGCACCAGAUGUGACUUUCUUACUUGAGCAAAUGCACACAUCUGGUAUACAGCUACUGAGAUCAUGGAUCUGGAAAAUGCCCUUUUCUCCAGACCUGUCUGUCCACAAGACCUUCCACCAGCAGCGGAUUUUCACCCGGCAAGGCCAGUAACACACGUGUACGGUCCCACCUCAGGGGUAAUUCACUCUCCUAGGCCAUGGCACAGUUUCAUCCCCAGGGUCUCGCUUGCCGUGACCUUCUACGAUAUGUCACAAGUGCCAAUGAUGUUUAAGACUUUAGGCUGCUUGGAUUGAAUGAGCGAGCGGUUGAAAGGCACUUACUAGGGAAGACCUUCAUGGCAGAAGCUGGGCAGAAGACCCCCAUUGAAAUCUAGGACCCUUUGCAUCAAUGACAUUUUUAUGAGAUGUGUGGUGUGGGGCAGGCUGGAACACACUUCUCCGGCAAAGGAUUAAGUGGUUGUGCCUUGCCCUGCUUACAGCCAAGAAGGCAAGCGUAUGCUAGCAGCCCUUUUUGGAGUCUGAAGAUAAUACAUUCCAGACUUGGGUGUGUUACCCGGCCUCAUCUCCUGAGGGACUCGGAAUGCUGCUGGUUUUGAGUGGGACCUGGACAGGAAGAAGGUUCUGCAACAGAACCAGACCCCUGCAGACCGCUUUUUAUGUUUGGGCUGCAUGAUCCAGGGACUCAGUGAUCCUCGAGGUGCUGUGGUAGAUAAGGAUGCUGCUAUUCAGAGCCUUUGGCAGCCCCCAAAGUGAAUCACAGCACAAGUGCUUGGGAUUUUGGAGCAAGGCCCAGCUGCUCUCCCCAAAUAACUACUCUCCUUUUGAGAGAUAGCCCUUGGCACACUGCUGGGCCUCAGUGCGAAAUGAACCCCCGCCCACGGGCCGCCCCUUUAUCCUUUGAUUUGAGCCACCACCCGUAUGAACUGGGUGUCACCAGAUGCCACCCCAAGCCAUAAACAUGGACAUGUACCUAGGAACAAUCCAUGAUCCCUGAGCAGUGCCCGAACCCUCCAGUGCGUUGUCUUUGUAGACAAAGAGCAAUGGGCUGGAUGCCUGAUUUGAAGAUAUUGGACAGGCUGUGUUCCCAGCCAUCCUUCCCACUGCCCAAUGAUGUCCUGGAGUAGCCACGGUGCCAGGGAAGGAUACUGCGUGUGAGAAGCAGAGAGAGUGACACUUGUCUAUGUGUAUAAUGAGCAGGCACUCACUGUUUGCUUCUGUCUGUAUGGAAAAUAGGCAUGUUAGCUUACGAACCUGGGCCUGACGGCUCCUGAGGAGUGGCAUGCAAGGUUAUCUUCUGGCCUCUACGUGCAUAGACAUGCACAUAUGCACAUGGACAUGCACACACACACAUACACACGCACGCACGCACGCACACAGAGUCUGGUAAGGAGUCUAGCUGGACAGUCAGGGGAGGCAACUCUCUAGUGCUGACCUGCCAGUUGGGAGAGGAGCUGAUAGUACUCUUGAUGUACAGUGGGCAGACACUGGGAGCUCACUGGACAUGCAGCGUUAAAGCAGGGUUGAAGAAGUGGUUAGGAGGUCACAGCUAGGAACUGGAGCCUGUUUGGAAAGGAAGUUUCUCUGUCAGCAGAAGAUUGUGUGGCAUGAGGUGAGACAUCGUAGGUUUGGAGCCAUGUUGGGCAUCUUCUUCCAAAUGGAGAAGACCUUUGGUGGCCUCUCAGGCCUCAGGCUUCCACCUGGUACACACUGUCUGGAGAGAGGCUACCUUUGAACACCAGCAGACACCUCCUAGCUGAUGUGUGCUCCGACCUCUAAGGUGAGUUUCGUAGUGUCUGCGAACCAUCUGGAAAGCCUUUCAAGAGAAAAAUAUGAAGUCUACAAACCUUUUAAAAAAUAUUUAUUUAUUUAUGUAUGCGAGCACAGUGUCUCUUGUAUUCAGACACACCAGAAGAGGGCAUCAGAUCCCAUUAUAGAUGGUUGUGAGCCACCAUGUGGUUGCUGGGAUUUGAACUCAGGACCUCUGGAAGAGCAGUCAGUGCUCUUAACCACUGAGCCAUCUCUCCAGCCCAGACCCUUCAGAAACCAAGGUAUCUACAAAGCCGACUCAAAGCUGAAGCCACAGAACAGAUGUUUGUCAAGGAGAAGCCAGCUGGGAAAGCAUGGGCCAGGCCACUGGUGGGCAUUAGAUCCCUGUGAAUCUACGAUCCUAACGUUACUUCUCUUCAGUGCUAGGGUUUGAACUCAGAGCCCUGUGUGUGCUGAAGAAGUGUUUCUCCCACCGAACCACAUUUUCAGCCCUUGGAGUUUUGAGACGGUCUUGCUGGGCUAGCUUAGCUUGGCCUUGAACUUGUGAUCAUGCCUCCGUUUCCCUGAUGCUAGAAUUAUGGCUAUGAGCCAACACGCUCAGUUUCUGUGAAGAUAGCAAUAGCGACCAGGUCUUGGUGCAAGCUAGACCAAUACUCUAUCAGCAGGGCUACAUCUCAGACUGCAUGGGGAAGGAGGCUUCAUGGUGUGCCUUUAAGGUAAUUGUAACCACGGGGUUCCUUUGAUGCCCACUUCAACUGGAUUGCAGGUGAAGCUGCUUGUGCUGCUGGUGGGGGAAAGGUUUAGGGGCUGGAGAGGUGUCCCGUUGCUCUAGUUUCUUGGCCAUUAAGUCUCCCCCCCCCCCAAUACACACACACAUUACCCCUGUCCUGGAACAAGAGGAAUAACACCAGUCAUGGCCCAGCCUCUGUUCCCAGGUCUCCGGACUGUGGUCAACAUAAUAUCUGCUUCCCCGCUUCCCUCACCCUCCUUCCUGCCUUCCACUGUCCCCAGCCUGAUCCUGGUGGCCCUUGUUACUAGAACUGCUCAGCAUAGCUCAUCAAUGACCUGUCCCCAUCAGCCACACACUUGCCCUUCCUCCCCUGCUGAGGAGCUCCUGGGGCUCCUUGGGUCUCUCCUGCUGCUACCAGACCCUGUUUGCUUCCCUUCCACUACCACCAUCGCUAGGACACAUACAUGAGAGAAACAACGCAGAAGGGGACAGCCAGACGUUUGGCUGGUGGUUUCAGAUUUUGUAGGCCGUGUUCACUCAGCUCUGCUGCUUCUGGGCCUGUGUGACACCGCACAGCUCGUGUGCAGGUGAGGAACGAGAAGCAAAGCAGCACGCCUCGCAGCAGUUGCGAAGUGGAGAGACGGAUUCUUGGAGAGCUAGCGCGACUUUCUCUCCAUUCCUUCCUGACAGCGUCUUGCAUUCUUUCCACACUUUGCCCGGCAGUCAGGGGAAGGUGUGUGAAAUAUCAUCUUCUCCAAGGAUGGUUCUGCGAGUAGUCGGAACCCUUGUCAAAUGCCGUCUCCGCUCCAUGCCUGACAUCCUCAAACGGCCCCGUGAGGUAGAUGCUGCGGCCUUGUUUAUGGCUGAGAAUAAUGAACUUCAAAGAUGUUUCCUGAGCUGUAGAUGGCUUCCAGGUCCCCGUGGACCCCGGGAACACGUGAAUUCUAGACACGUGUAGCCACCAAGAGGGUUCCUACAAGGUUGAGAUUUUUCACGGUCAGUGCUAGGAAGACUGGCUUUCACAGGGCAGCCUGAAGGGAGGCUGCUACAUUGCUGUAUAGCAGGGGGUGGCAACCUAUAUCAGGCUUAGUGGUAGUUUGUAGGUCCAGGGUAUCCUACCCCCUCCUCCACAAUUUCACCUCCAGCGCUAUUCCUGAGAUAUUGAUCAGAUGGAAUUUCCCCUUCGAUUUCCUGUCUUACCGUAACCGUUAUUUCCAUAACACCGUAAGUGGGGAUCCUGGACAUUUUCUCUCAGAAGAACCAAAUUUAACCCCUUUGUCUGUCCAACUGCCUAUGCUCCCUCCCCAUCAGGUUAUUGACCUGGCGGUGUCACUGUCCACUGACUGAGGCCCAGGAAUCUGGCUCCGUGGUGCUGCUUGGUUGCCUCAAGUCUUCCCUCUUGUGGUAAGACAGUUCUGUGCCUGCUGUGGGGAGGGCACAGGAGAAGCGAGCCAUCAGAUGGGGAUCACAGGAAGCUGGCGGACUUCAAAUUAAGCACAGGAGUCAGAGAAUAGUAGGCUUUGUGAGGGAUGAGGCAUUUGGUCUGAGAAACCUUCAGAGAGUUUCUGGGUGAGACCUGUAGACAAUGCACACAGAAAUGGAGCUCCGUAGCUUGAAGAGGAGGGAGAGGGAAACCUUUGCAAGUUCUGGGGGGGGGGGCGGGGCAAGCUCUUCUCAGUUUGGUGAUUUUAGGGCCCACGAGAAUGGUGGCUGGAUGUGUCUGUGGAGCACAGAUGAGGGGAAGGGAGGGCUUCCUAAGGAUGCACAGCAGUGUCCAAUUAAUGAUCACCUAUAAAUUAUAUGUAUGUGUCAGGGUUCCUUCUUCAGAGCGAUGGGUGUUGGGCCCAGAUUUCUCUGUCCUUUGUGUACUGUUAUGCUGGCUCUGAGUCGAUUCCUAUGGUGUCCCCGCCACCCCAUUUACCCUCCCAAGCCCCUCAAGCCAGCCUUCCCACCACCCAGCUUUCAGGACUGUCUGUAAAGCCCAAGAUAAAAGGCUUUCUGCUCCCCUCUUUUUAAAAAAAUUCCCUCAUCAUUCAGCCGCUGUCCCCUGAAUGCCUGCUCUGUCUGGACUGUCCCGGUGCCUGCACUGAGGGAGAUGCCCAGACAGGGCUAACCCGGAGGUCUGAGUCUGAGCUGCACCCUCGUGACUGGGUCUCUUUCUUCCCCGCUAUGGGUCUUGCCACAGCGGAGGUUUGCACGGCUGUCAGAUGUUUACUGUGGAAACUUGCAGACAGGGAUACCUCCAGGCCCCGCCCUGACCACCCAGGUCACUGCUCAUUCCCUGGUCUCCUCAGUAGGUACAGUCAUCCUCCUUUGAAAACCCCAUCGGGCUCAGGAAUAGCAGUGGAGUUCUAGGAAAGAUCAGUAGGGCUCUUGCGCAUUGGGGGUUUAUACUGAAUGUCCCCGAAUCUGUGUCUCUGGACACUGCCUACAGUUUGUGCAGAAUCUCAGGGCUGUUUGAGCCAGAGGGGCUCUACUUAGAUUUGGAUUUAGGAGAGGGGUAGUAUAGGGUUCUCUCUAAGAUGUAGUUUUUAUUUUUUAUUUUUGAGAGGGGUAGUUUGCACUGCUCAGCAUAGAUUUGGAGACCACGCUCCUAGAAGCCGACUUUCAGAAGCCACCUCCCUCCCCUCUCUGCCACUGUCUUUCAAAAAAUGCUUUCAGGAGUGACACCAGGGCCAGGCAGGCAGGGCACAGGCUGUUUCUACAAGUUGCUGGGUGACAGGUGUGACAUAUGGCUUCACCCAGCACGUUUGAGGGAGUGUGGGGUGUUCUUCCUGAGAAGGUGGAUUUAGAGAAAACUGAGGGAAGUGAAUUAUCUCUGUGGUACUGGCUUGUCUGUCUGUCCUUCUACCCCAGCUGAAGCAGCUGCGUUCAGGCCCCAUAGAAACAAGGGCUGAGCUGGCUCUCUCUCUCUGUCUCUGUCUCUGUCUCUGUCUCUGUCUCUCUCUCUCUCUCUCCCUCUCUCUCUCUCUCUCUGUCUUGCUCUCGCGCUCUCUCUCUCUCUCUCUCUUUCUCUAGCCUGUCACUCACUGAAUUGAGACUCAGUCCAGUAAAAGUGGCACAGCUUUGGAAAGCCCCCCAAGGAAAGCUGUCCCCAGGAUGCGACCAAGGGUAGCGUAAGAAGCUUGUCCAAGCUAGGCUCAUUGUGUGAGCAGGGUGGCCAUGCUGCAUAUCGGAUGCUCCUUUUCUUCCUUCCUGUAGGAAGGACACCAGUUCUUGGAGGUCUGUGGAGCACCUGUAGGUGUUGAUUUCCUUCUAAAUCUAAGUGCUUUCCACUAUACACAAGGUGGGGACUCCUAGGCCCAUUCACGGAUAGGUAAACUGACACUUAAAAACUAUACAUGGAGGUACACUGCUUCUAAUCCCAGUACUUGAGGAGCUAAGGCAAGAGAAUUGUAAGUUCCCGGCCAGGGGGACUACAUAGUGACCCUGUUGAAAAAAAAAAAAAAAAGAACCAGAAUUAAAAAAUGGAGUCAAAUACUUAUGCUGACAUAAUGUUAUAGAUGCAAGAAUACUGUGCUUGGUGUUUUUUUUUAUUUUUACAUUUUCCUGCAUGUGUGUUGUGUAUGCAUUCUUUGCAAGAAUGUGUAUGUGCUUGCCUGCAUGUAUGUGCACAGGGUGUGUGUGUGUGUGUGUGUGUGUGUGUGUGUGUAUGUGCUUGAGCGAAUGUUGUGUGCACAGGGGGUGUGUACUUGUGUGCAUGUGUGUGCACAGGGUUGUGUGUGCUUGUGUGCAUGCGUGUGCACACAAGUGUAUGUAUGCAUGUGGAGGCCCGAGGCUGAUGUGGGGAGCCAUCUGCUAUCCAACAUGGCUCUUUCCUGUGAUUCCUAAGUCAGUUUCCAGAUCAAGCCCAGACUGCACCAAUAAGGCUAGUCUUACCAGCUUUUUCCAGAGUAUCCUCUGUCAUCAUCCUUCGAAGCUGGAAUUACAGGUGGGCUGCCAUACCCAUCUGGCGUUUUUGUGGUUUCUGGGGAUCUGAACUAUGGUCUUCCCACUUUAACUGCUGAGCCAUCUUCUCCAGCCCCUCGGUCUGUAUCCUGACCCUAUGCCUACCUCUGAGCUGGAAAACUCAGGAUGGGGUGGUGAGAGGCAGUUCCUACAGUGCCACACACUGGGCAGUGUAGGGGAGAGAUUCUGAUGGAGGGGGCGAAGGAAGGCCGCGUGACUGGGUCUGGAGAGGGAGGUAAGACGGCGGCCCUUCAACCCUCUAGUCUGGGAGUAGCGGAGCACAUCCCACUCAGUCCCAGUCCCGAGCACAUGUGUAUGCUGGUGUGGAUGACACCAGCAUCUUCAGAGAGGUAGAAAAGACCCUGAGUCUUGCACUUUUCCCAGACAACCCUAGACAUGUUUAGUGGUUCUGCUGGGCUCUCAGUAGGUCAGCCACACCCAGAAUCUUCUACUUUCACACAGAUACCCAGAGCAGCCGCCUGGCUGAGGAGCCGGAGGCUCCCCUCAGCUCUCCUAGGCCUCUCCUGCUGGGAGCUGCCACAGGCCUCUCCUGCACAGGGUUCUGAUUCUCAGACCAAUCUCCUAAUGCCCCAGGGGCAGCACCCAGAGGGGAUGCAUACCUGGGUUCACGUGGAGGAGGUAGAGGGAGGUAGGGGGGAGAGAGCAGGGCCCUGACACUUCCCUCUGCUCUUUGUCUAAGAAUUCACAUUUAGACAACUGAGAGACUGAUGGCCUCAAGCCUGGCCUUCCCUUGUGGUGCCGCGCUUCUCUCUGAGAAAAACCAGCCUUGGGCGUCAGACUUUAAUUACCUUCCCAAGGGAUGCUUCCUGUGGAUAUUUCUAGUGACAGUGGCUGAGGCUGAGCUCCUGAAUAAAAUUAGGAUGUUUAACUGGGUCAUAAGCUCCCAUGCCCCCAGAGGCUGGGAAGGGAGGCAGAAGGGCAUCGGAAAGCCGGUCGUGUAAAGAAGUUCAUGUCCCUGCUAAGGACUAGCUCCUGGGACCGUGGAGCCCACUGGCAUGGUAAUGUUUUGUUUUGUUUUUUCCCCCAAGAGAAGCCUAGAAUACACACACACACAUACACACACACACACACACACACACACACACACACACACACACACACACACACACACACACACACACUGAUAACUAACUCAGGGAGUUUUGUUUGAGAAGUCCCAACACUACACCAGCUGAAAAUGAAUCUUUGAGUCAGGACACAGGACACAACUGGGAAGCCCACUUGGUUUGGGGCCAGGCAGCUGGGACAGGGAGUGUUUCCACCUGUGGUCCAGCCCCCAGGCCACCUGCCCAGGCUGCAUUGUGAUUAAAACUGAGGACCAACUCUGCAGAUUCCACUGAAACCAGAGACACAAGGUGGCUCUGAGGAACAAGAGGGGACAACUCCCUGCUCCUCAAGAGAUGGCGUUCGCAUGAUUGUCUUUUGGGUACACUGCAUAGCUCUCACAGCUUUGGAGACACAACACACACUCCUGGUAGGUACUUAGUAGAUAAUUUAUGUUGCAGAUAAGCAAACUGUGACCUGUCCUCCCCCUCCAACUUUGGUGGAUGGGGUUUUAAUACAAAUCUGAUUGCUCUGUGUGUGUGUGUGUGUUGUUUUGUUUUUUUCCCAAGAGAAGCUGAGAACACACACACACACACACACACACACACACACACACACACACACACCAAUGACCUUGCCCUGGCCUGAGCUGCAUUCUAAUUAUAUCCACUGAGGUCAAGGUCCCCCUAGCUCCUCUCCUGCUGGGGCACCUAGGGUCCACUGCUGUCCCACCUAUGAGCACUGCAAAGGCUGCUGACUAAUUCACCUCACAAAGGUUUUACGUGCUGGCGCUUCCAGGAACCUCGUGGGUGGAUUUGUUUCACUAAAGGGGAAAAUGAAACAAAACAUUGGGGCAUGGGGGUUCUUUCCCGAGAAGAGGACUCAGUAAUUAAGGGUGCGCACGUGUGUGGCUCUGGGCAUCCUGGUGCAUUCUGCAGCCAGCAGGGCCUCUUGGCAGCCUGCUCCAGGGAGAAAUCCCUUAGUCAUUUACAAGCAGAUUCAGGUGUAGGAGGUCAGGGAGGUGCAGGGCCUGUGGGGGACACAAGGGACCCUGCCCUGCCCAGGGAACCACAUCAGCUGGGCACUCCUUCCAGCUCUGAUCUGCCCCAUACCUGACAGGAGAAGAGCUGGGUGAAGAGGAAGGUGGCAGGUGAGACAGCAGACCACACCCUCGGGGCUCAUGGCACUCCAAGGGGACAUGGCCUGGCAAGAAGAUGCUCCCAGCUGGCCAACACCUCCUGCCUACUGCUGCUGGGUUGGGGACAGGGGACUGCCUGGGCUGCUUAGAUUCUGCUGGAGAAUGUAUACAGCAGUUAGUUCCGGGAGAGGUGUGUGUGUGUGUGUGUGUGUGUGUGUGUGUGUGUGUGUGUGUGUGUGUGUGUACUCCUGUCUGCCUGUCUGUCCGUCUGUCCAUCUGUCUGCACCAUAUAUUUCUGCAUGGCCUCCUCCAGGUCAUCACUACACCUCGUCGUCCAGGCUUUACUGAAGUAAGCCUGCUUAGAUCCUGACACUUGACAGGAUCCUGGGAGGCUCGGCUAUGUCCCAGACUUAGGCAGAGAACCUUGUGUAGGUGCUUUAUGGUAAGGAAGCGCAGGUCACAGCAGAGACAGAUCGGUUGGGUGAUUUUUGGUACCCUGCAGCCCAUGUGUGUCCCUUCUCUUAGACCAGGGACAUAAGCAGGCUGUGCAGGGAGUGACCGCUCUGAAUGCAGUGGACUCUCUAGGGUGGCAGGCUCCUGUCUGGAUGGGUCUGCAGGGGAAGCCGGGCUUAGUCUGUGUGUGGAGGAGUUUUAAAGCUGCUUUGAGCUUGGAUGGGAGUCCGGGAGGUGACUGCAAUCUAGCGCUGGAACCUCGUGCCUCUGUGACCUGAGCGUCCUGGUCACUUCUCUGAGCCUCCAGUUUCCCCCUGGGAUGUGGGGGUCAGAAUGCCCCCUGAAUGGGCUGAGGCAAUGCCGGUGAGUUGCCUGGGGUUGUCCUCCCAGUAUCCAGGUAUGCCCCAUCUAUUGGAAACAAGGCAGUUUGUCAUGGAGAGGAUGGGGAACCAGAUAACUCCUCCCUCAUACAACGGUAAUGGGGGCCAGCAGGGAUUGGGGAGAAUUUUAAUGGCAGUCAGGAUUUAUUCGGGAAAGCUGCUCAGGGGGCGAAUUCUCUGACCCCGAGUCUUAGGGCUGUGAAGGCCGAGAGAAAGGAGGAGAGGGAGACAAGAAGAGACGCAUUCACUGGGUGAGGGUAGUGUGUACGCAGAAUCAUCAGGCGCUUAGCCGGGACUUAGAGUCAUAAUAAGUGCCGGAGAAAUGACAUCAGUAAAGGCAGUAUGAAGUCUGGAUUUUCAGUUUUAAUAUUUGGGAGUGUGUGUGUGUGUGUGUGUGUGUGUGUGUGUGUGUGUGUGUGUGUGUGUCUCGGGUCUGUAGGUCCAUCUGUGUCUUUCCCUCCCCCCUCCAGCUCUAUUGGCUUCUUGGAUCUGAGCCUUUUAUUCUCCUCUGACCUUCCAUUAAUCACAUGUAUGCAUAUUAAGGGUGUCUGGCCCAAGUACCAGCCCCCUCCGCUCCCCAGCCGUAGGAAGCGCAGUGGACAGCUGUGGGCAGUGACAAGCCAGGUGGAGACAGGAAGCAGCUGGGCUGUUCCCCCCUUUCCGGGCAGGUUAGGGAAGCACGGUGAUUGUUCUGGGAAGCUCAGCUGGUACAGCACCCCUGUUUCCUGUGGUCAGUGAGGGCGUGGCCUUGGGGUCUGGGCUGCCACUAGUGUUGGCGUGGGCACCAGAGGCUUAUAGCGCCAUGCCUUAUCUUCAGCUAGGGAGGUGGCUGGUGGUGAUAGACUCUCCCCACACCCAUCCGUGACUUUUACUGUGCAUUCUCUCUGGCUGUACCCUCUUCACUUUCUCCUUUGGCAGCCUGAGUCCCGAGCCUCUGCAAGCUGUCUGAGGAGCAGGCAGGCAAGACAGAGGAAAGCAUCUGUGUAGUGGUUCUUUGCUCCAGAACCACCUCCCCACAGCUCCUCCCAGGCUUCUGUGUCUUGAGAACACCGUGAUAUGGUUCUGGCUUCUGACCUGGAUGCCAGACAAGUUCCCGUGCCUCUUGAGUCUCAGCUGUAGAACUGGAUGUGAGCUCCUGUGUGGAGCCAUGGCUGGACUGAGCAGAGACAGACAGACGUGUGCCUGGUGCCUGCGGACCACUGGUGCCAUCAUUUAGACAAUUGUGCCUUUUGUGGGUUCGACAGCUGUGCCAGACUCUGUGCGUACAGCUGGACGAGGCAGGGUUCAUGGCCCUUCCAUGGCGGGGACAGUCACAUGAGCCGGUGAUCAGAACACAGUGUAACUGCAGGAACCACCCUGUCAGGAUCCCAGCCCACGAUUGUGCCCUAGAGCAGGUCCACAGGAGGAGUCAGGAGCCUCAGCGGCAGAAGCCUGGAGAGCAGUGCAGUGUGUGGGCUCGUCAGACAUACCCAGCUCCCUGCAAGGUAGCCUCUCCGCUCUGGGACCCUGUUUUCUUCUAAGGUCGCGCUGAUCUGAUAUGAGGGGGUGGGGACCCUCUUAGCUGCACAACUUUCAUAAACACUGCUAAGGCAGGAGGAUUGCUGCAUGUUUGGGGCUAGCCUAGGCAGGAAGACCCCGUGUCCAAAAGGGAGAAGUAGACAAGGAGCUCUACUUUGAAGCCCACUGGGACCAUGCAGCUCUGCUCUCUGGGGACAAGGCACAGUCCCAUCCCAGAGACUGGGUGUCCACGUUGCUUCUGCUACAGUUUCUUUGCCUCCUUCCUGGUAUUACGUGGCAAGAACUUCCUCCUAUAAAUAGGUGUGGAGAUCCACUAGUACUAUGGCGUGUUCUUGGUGAGGGGGCGGGUGGCCGCUCACUGGGAGAGAGACUAGAGAGUUGUAAGUAACCGUCACUGUCUCUUGGGGCAGGCCUGCCCACUGUGUGUUAAACACAUCCACUGGCUCAGCUGGCCAAGCCAGGAGCUUAAACCUACAGAAGACUCUGUCUCCUCUCAGCUCCCCUUCACCUCUGCCUUGCCUCACUUAUGUGCAGAUGUGGGGUGGCCACAAGAGCCCUUCUGUCCCAGGCGUGAUCCGUUUGUUUGGUAUGUCUCAGUCCUUGCAACACAGAGGAAGUGAGUACCCACCCCCUCCCAUCCUGCAAAUAUUUUAGGCAGGGGCCCAGAAGAACCCCGAGGGAGUUGUGGAGACCCAUCUAGGGCUGAUCCCUUCCCUCAGGAUCAGGCCUGAGGGUGUGUAAAGAACCCAGAGGCCCCAAAGAGAACGCUAGAGUACACUCCAGGCACAGACAUGGCUUGAUCACUGUGAGGGUUGUAGGUGCCCAUCUUAUCCAGUAGCUGGGACAUGGUGACUACACAUGGCGGAUGCUUUGUAGACACUGAAUUGAAUGGAUGAGUGAACGAAUGAGCUCGCCCAUCUCUUCGCUGACGGUGGAAAAGAUAGCAUCUUUGAUCUAGCCAGGUCAUACUUUGGUUAUCCCGUUGAUUGGCUCUCAAGGGCUCCAUCCAUUUAGUUCUGAAGCCACUGUGUCUAGGACAGUGCCUGGCUUAUAAGGGAUUGAGCCCCUUGACCUAGUAAGUAACCUAGUCAGGCUGCCUUUGGCUCUAUAGCCUGUGUCCUCUCCCUGAAGGAUCAGGUCUGUCUCCUUCCUUCCCAGAGGUCUCUCCUAUCCCAUACUCCUACCUUCCUACUGAGGAUGGGGGCUGUGCUUGGCUCUCUGACCAUCCUCUUCACAUCCACUGAAGGCAGGCGCUGUAUUUAUUUCUCCAUGAGAGACAUUGUGUUUACGUCACUGGCAUUUUUAAGACUCUAACAUCCUGAGGUGAAGUGAGUGGAAUGGAGUUACAUAGGACUCUUGCUGGACAAGUUCGGUGUAGCAGGAGGGACCACACUUUACCAGGCUCCAGGGGAAGACCCCAUUCCUGCUUUGCCACCCCUGCAAACCUCUUCCGUGCCCCACCGCACCCCAUGUCCUGUUCAGAUGUCUGAAUCCCUGAGAGCCCCACUCCUACCCUCUAGGCAAGGGGCGUAGCUUUGGCCAUGAUUCUGGGGAAGGAGGCGGCAGGGUAAUUACAGUUACUGGAAAUAAUCUUAUUUCCUUUCACCCUUCUCUAUCCCACUGAAAGGAAAAAAAACAAAAAAGAAAGAAAUCAAAACAAAACAAAAAACGUCCCCAAAACACCAAGCCGAAAAGAAUUCUUAAACCUCCCUAGUUUAGUCUGUGCAGUUGGUCCAGCCAAGGGCCUUAAACAUUUGCAUUCCUGGGGCUUAGCUGGCUCUUUGGGUGUAGAGUUUCUGGGUUAGUGGUCCUCCAAGGUGGAGUCAGACAAAGUCCUUACAAAGAAAGUGUGUGUAUGUGUGUGUGUGUUGGAAUGUCAAAUAUCCUUACAAAGAGAGUGUGUGUGUCUGUGUGCGUGUGCGUGUGUGCACACGUGUGUGUAUGUGUAUGUGUGUGUUAGAAUGUCAAAUAUCCUUACAAAGAGAGUGUGUGUGUCUGUGUGUGUGUGUGUGUUAGAACGUCAAAUAUCCUUACAAAGAGAGUGUGUGUGUCUGUGUGUGUGUGUGUGUUAGAAUGUCAAAUAUCCUUACAAAGAGAGUGUGUGUGUCUGUGUGUGUGUGUUAGAAUGUCAAAUAUCCUUACAAAGAGAGUGUGUGUGUCUGUGUGCGUGUGCGUGUAUGCACACGUGUGUGUAUGUGUAUGUGUGUGUUAGAAUGUCAAAUAUCCUUACAAAGAGAGUGUGUGUGUCUGUGUGCGUGUGCGUGUGUGCACACACAUGUGUGUGUGUGUGUGUGUGUGUGUGUGUGUGUGUGUGUGUGUUGGAAUGUCAAAUACCCUGCUAGGCAUGGGUGGGCUCCCGGAGCACCAGGGCGUAGAAAUGGGCUCUGACCUAUUGCAAGUCACCUCUGUGCUGGGAAGAGAAUGUCCCCAGUUGGGUCUUCAGACCUAUGUAGCCCAUUCACUGUGUUUUGGAGUCACAGCUGAGAAGGGGUAAGAAGUUUGGGAGACAGACAUGGGGUUGUUCCCAUUUCAUCAAAGGCCAUUUGGGUGGAAGUUACUUGAUUGUCACUGUAAGGUGCCUUUGUCUUUAGGGCCAGUCUGAUGACAGAGAUAGUAAGAUACGGGCCACAAGACUGAAUCAGUGGUGGGAGUUGACUAUGUUAGACAGGUGGGUGGUGAUGGGUAGGUCCAGGUCAUGGGCGGGGAAGCUGGAGGGCACAGGCCUGACCCCUUAGGCAGGACACAGGGCUGGAAGACUUAUCAACCAACGACCUGCUGUGUCGAGGGGUGCAGCCCACUGUAGGUGGAAACUGAUGUGGGCACAGGCGCUGAAGUGCAGGUCAUCUGUGCCUCACAGCAGGCCUGGAGAGGGUGGAAGCCACAGGAACAGACCCAGGAAGGACCACCUAUGAAUGCCCCACUGUGGCCUCUUGUCCCACGAAGGAGCAGCUCUGGCAUCUGUUUUAUAUGUGCGCAAAGGCUGUCUGUCCUCAGGAUAUAUGCAGCUGGGUCAUGCUGCCUGCCCUCUCUGAAUUCCCACCCUGUGAGAGGAUCAAAGGGUCUUUAUUAACACCUGAGCCCCUGGCUUUACCCUUCUUUGGCGAGCCUUACCGUGGUCCUGUUCCUGUGCCUUCCUUUUAAUCAGCUCUUGGUAUGUGCCAAGCUCAGGACUCAGUGGAGGCCAUCACUGUCUCCGCUAAUCUUCAAGUCACUGCUCUACAAGACAAGGCUGUUAAUAUGAUUUGCAGACAGGGGGAAACUGAGGCCCACAAUAUCUCAGGUCAUAACUGAGCCGAGGUCACAGCUCACAUUGAAAAUAAAAAGCUCAUAUCUUUCUCUGAUUUGGGAAAAAUAGAUUCUUACUUAUUCCUGUUUGGAGAACUGUCCAUUAACCUGCCUUCCUCCGUAUGGUAGGUUCAUCAGCUCUUGGCAAGUGUGAUCAAAAAUCCCAGCCCUGUAACUGAUCAAGACCAGACGGCUAAUGUGUUUUCUUCCAAGCCUGAUGAGAGAUGGCUUCAUCUCUGGAUAGUGUAAGGGAAUGCUGUGCUAAGUUCUGAGUCAAACCUGAGGCAGUCAAGGCCACCUGCUGGUUCCAUUGUGGUUGGAAAUUAGUGGACAGUUUUUGAGGGCCAAGAGAAGCCACGUACAGGUCCAGGUAUUACUGGGGACAGUGGCUUAUAAUGUCAAGCUUGGCCUUGGCUAUGCUGAUGGCCAGGAGGAGGAGCUGGGGCCCUUAUCCUGGAGGCAAGUUCUAGGUUAAGUCAGCAGACACAUCCAGCCUCUUACCCUCACCACACCCUUCCUACCACUCUUCCCAGACACCUUUUGUUGUCUGGCUCUGACAGACGUCUGGGCUCCCAGGGAGGUUCCUGAUGGGGGACCUUGGAAAUAGGUCACUCCCUUCCCGUGUAGCCAGCACUGACCCAGAUGUGACCCGCCUCAUGUGACAGUGUCCGUCUGAGUACCGCUCUUUGAUGCUAGCAGUGGAAGGGCCAGGUGGCCAUCUCAUCCCAGCUCUGGCCUUUGAAGACUGUCUUCUCAGCUCCAGCACUCUGCAUGCCCCUUCAAUCAGCCCCUCCUCCUCACCGCCAUAUUGGAAAGGGGAAAUCCAGUCUUGACUUCUUCCUCUCUCAAGAGUGCCCUGGCUGGACUGGCGGCUCCCAAUCUCUGGAUGAAACAGACAAGUUCCUGCAGGGCCGAAGCCAAGGGCUGCUGGGCCUAGAUGUGGCCCUUCUCUGGCCCCCUACCCUUUGGUAUCCCACAGAAUCUUGGGGUUUUCCAUAUAUUCCUGGCUGGGGUUCUCAGUUGCACCCCACCCCGUAAGCCUUUUGGCUGGAACUUUAGGAGAUGCUUGGCACCAUAGAGCUUCCUCCUCUUCCUCUCAGGUCUUCCUGAGGGCCAAAGAGAAAGUCCAGGGGACUUUCUUCCAGCAAAGAAAACUGAGGUACAAACCCCAAGGAGGGGAUCUUUUUAUCCGAGCUGUAGAACUCUUCUCAGAGUAUCUGGUCACAAUUCCUGGGUUUUCUAGGCCACCUCCUCUCUUUCCUCCAGCUUCCAUCCUUUUUGUGGAGUUAUAUUAGGACCUUUAUUUAUCCCUCCCCAGACAAUCUCAACUUGGUGGAGUGUGUGUGUGUGUGUAUCUAUGUGUGUGUAUAUCUAUGUGUGUGUCUGUGUGUGUAUAUCUGUGUGUGUCUGUGUGUGUGUCUGUGUGUAUGUCUGUGUGUGUGUCUGUGUGUGUGUUUCUGUGUGUCUGUUUCUGUGUGUGUCUGUGUGUGUGUGUCUGUGUGUGUAUAUCUGUGUGUGUGUCUGUGUGUGUAUAUCUGUGUGUGUGUCUGUGUGUGUAUAUCUGUGUGUGUGUCUGUGUGUGUGUCUCUGUGUGUGUGUCUGUGUGUGUGUCUGUGUGUCUGUGUGUGUAUAUCUGUGUGUGUGUCUGUGUGUGUGUCUGUGUGUGUCUGUAUGUGUAUAUAUGUGUGUGUGUGCGUGUGUCUGUGUGUGUGUGUGUCUGUGUGUGUAUAUCUGUGUGUGUAUGUGCAUGUGUCUGUGUGUCUGUGUCAGUUUGAAUAUGGAGGUAAGAGGACAACUUGUGGUAGCUGGUUUUUACCUUCUAUGGCGUGAGUCCCAGGGAUCAGUCUUAAGGCUCCAGCGUGCUACAUAAGCCUUCUGCCAUCUGGGUUAUUCGAUCAGGCCUAGGGACCCUGACUUCUGAUCAUCUCAUCCCCACGUUUUUCUCGGUCAGCAAGUCUGGCACCUGUGAUGCAGCUGGAUCGGACCCCAAGUAAGCAGGUUUGUCUACAACACCAUGUGGACUCACCAUGAGGCAGGCACACACACAGGAUAUUACACACGGGAGACCACACAGCCAUCCAUGGCAACGGUGAAUGACAUUCUCAGUGGCUGCCGGUGUCCUACCAUCGGUGGCUCUGCCGUGUGCAGGCUCUUCUGCAUUUCUGCUGUUCAGCACAUAGCAGAUCCUCAAUAAGGUUCUCAUAGUGAGUGGGGAGAUGUCUUGUGCCCAGAGAUACGGGGAUGUGGACAGCCUUGAAGCCAGGGAGCGUGCACCAUGACAGCAACUCUACAACACUUAACUUAAAGCUAACGUUAGUUAGACUGGACAGUCACGUUUGAGACAAGAAGUCUGUUUUCUCUGCCAAGGGGCCUGGGUGGCCAGAUCCAAUGCAGACACAUUCUUUCUUAGAAGACAGUGCAUGGAAAGCACAGGGGUGGCUGGGUGCAGGAUGCACAGUUGCUUGUCCUGUCUGGAAGGACUGCACUUACUCGCUGCUCUCCUGAAGAGAAUGCUCGUGUGGUGGAAGGAAUGUGUUGAGCCUCUUCUGUGCCCAGUGUAGAUGUGGGUUCCCCAAGUUGCAGCUGCCCAGAAGGACCAGUUCUCAUCAUCCAGCCCGGGACAGAUACUCUAGACUUUGAACCAGAGAGGGUGGAGGGAGGGAUUGAAGGCCCUGGCUGCUUCCCGGGCACAGCCAGCUCUAUGAACUAGAGACAAUUUGGACUGCAGGAAACUUGAGAUUCAGUUUCUGGGAAUGAGGAGCCUGGAAAGCAAGGCCGGGGCUAAGGUGCUUCUGACAGGACGAACAGAGUCAGCUCAACAGAAAGAGGUGUCUAGACGCCCCUUCAGGAAGGCUGUGUCUGGGGAAGAUGGGAGACCCUGCUUCCCCAGGAGGUCUGUGCAGCAUGUCUGUGGAGCACGGUGCUAUAAGAUAGAAGGAGCCCCUCUCAUCCAAUCGGCAUUUAUGAAUUCCCAUGCCAGCCUCUGUUCCCCAUCCUGAGAUACAGUGAGCAAGAUGAAGUACAUGUCCUCAUAGAAUGACUGUUCUGGUGGAGAUGGAGUCUCGAGCCGGUGUCUCGGUGAACUUAAAUGUCAUGGAAUGGUCUCCUGAGAGAGGAGGGCUGGGGCAGGUGAUCUGAACAAUCUGCCAUCUUGAACAACGGCUGCCAGGCCUCAGUGGUGAUGGAUGUUGGAGUAGAGGCCUGAUGGGAGAGAGGGCUAACCAUCUGAACGGCGCAAAGACCCUGAGUUUGAGACUGGCAGGAGGCCGGAGAGGCUGGACAGAACGUGUCAGGAUGAGGAAGAGCAAGUGACAGUGGGCUCCAAUGGGAAGGCCUACAGGCUCGGUGAGAUGUCAGCUGAGGCCUGAGGGCAGCCAUGGGGGAGUGUGGGCAGUGGGCAGCUUAGAAGCCACACAGGGAAAGAGAAAGGAACCUGAAGGAACCUUGGUGUGGAGAACAGCCUGGUUCUUCCCAAAUUGACUGGGUUUCUGCCCCCAGACUUGUACGUGAUGUGACAUCAAAUAAGGGUCUCCAGGAUGUAGGUGCUUCAUCCACGUUUGUCCAUCAUGUGCUAACUUUGAGAAGGUUUGGUACUAGCAGCUAUGCCAGCCCCUGCUGGGCUGAGGCAGGCAUCACAGGGACAGGGGUUCCGUGGCUGAAUGCACACAGGAUGCCAGGAAACAGGUCAAGGAUAGAAAGCACGCAAAAGCCACGUGAGGGCACGGGAGGGGUGUCACAGAGGAGAGGCCACAAGACUUCCCGUGUCAAAGGCUCUGUAGGGGCAAAGUCUGAUCAGGAAACAGGGUGUGCCUGGUGGAAGAAACCGUGAGCCAGAAGGCGGUUUUUAGAGCUCUGCCUGGAACCGUGGAAGAGUUCUUACCAGCAGUCCUGCCUCAGUCCCCAGCACCACAAAUAAAUAAAGUUUAUUUAUGCAAACACACAAAACCCCUCAACCUGGGGAAAUGGCUCAACCUCGGGGAAGAGCUUGCCAUGCAAGCACAAGGACCUGAGUUUAAUCCCCCUAGAACUCCAACAAGCCCCAGUGCAGGACAGCACGUGCCUGCGAGCCCAGAGCCGGGUAGGCAGAGAUCCAAAGAGCCUUGGGGCUUACGAGCCAGCUACACUAGUUCAAUCCUCUGUGAGCUCCAGUCCUCCAAUCCAUGAGAUCCUGCCUCAAAUAAUAAGGUAGAAUGAAUACGGAAGACACCCAGGAUUGACCUCUGCCCUCCACUUGUACACACACACACACACACACACACACACACACACACACACACACAGAGAGAGAGAGAGAGAGAGAGACAGACAGACAGACAGACAGACAGACAGACACAUGCACACGAGCACCAAAGCUUAACUUGCUUGUCAGCAGGAACUUUUUUGAGUCAGAAAAUCAAAUCUAAACAAGAAAAGAAAAAAGACUUGCUGUGUCUAAGGCGUCUCUGGGUCCAGGGGUUCCAGCCCUGGCGUCAGCAGCUGUGUUUCUGCUAUUUAAACAUCUAUUUUUUUUUUAAACCCCUUUCUCAGAAGGUCAUUUAGGCAAAAGUCCCAGGGUUGUUUUGACUGGUCCCAUAUCUUCACUGUCCCAGGGCCAUGUGAAUCAUCUCCUGAGGCAGCGGUUGAAGAUCGCAUCCCGACUCCCAGCAGCAGAUCAAGUUCUGCUUUGUGAAGGGGGACGGGGGACUCGUCAAAGUCAGAACUGAGGCACAGCGUUAAAGAGAGACAAACCAAGAACUGGACGAAGGCAUCAGGUGCCUUCCCCUAGCAAAUUGUUGGGGACAUUGAGCACUCUCAUAGGGUAGUCACGUGUUUUGUGGGGGAUGGAUCCCCCCCAAAAAAAGCAGUAAGGGAUGAAUCUAGAGUCAUAGUUGGAGAUCACAAAGCACCGUUGAUCGCUGUCCUUGAAGUGACCUGUGCCUAUAAACUUGCCAAGGUGAUCUGCAUACUUCAUGGGUGGCCACCAGAUGGUUUAGCAGGGGCAUGAGGCAGCAUGGUCCUGGAGGCUGGUUGGGAGGGCCUGUGGGGACUCUGAGAAGAGUCAGUAUGGUUGAUAUCCAGGGAGCUGAAGCUCUGCUCCCUGCUGAUGCCCUUCCCCGGGCGAAGCUGCCUACAGCAGAAUGGAACCUGUCAUUAGCAGGCCCCAGCAGCCUCUCUGCCCUCAGCAGCUCUGGAGCGCUCACACCCCCAUUUUAGCUCUGGCAUGGUUGAUGGAGAAUGAGCAGGGUGUGUUUCUAAAAGCAGCCUGUAGCCCACUGUGGGGCCUUCUCGCUUGCCUUCUGGAGGGGAAGUUACAGCUGGGUUCCCUUGGUAUUCCUGGCUCCUGAGGAGAUGGUUUGCCACCCAGAAAGCCAAUCCCGCAGCUAAAGCCAGAGAGCUUGAUCUCUCAGGGAUUAAAGGUCACUGUAGCAAGGGGUAGCAGAGACAGUGUCUCAGGGCCAACCAGAGUCAAGUAACUGGCCCUGUCCCAUACUGCUGUUGUCCCAUCUGUCCCCCAGAGCAUGGCAGAGCCAGCUGCUGAGGUCAGGUGAGGGGCGUCCCCUUACAGGGGAGGAUUUGUUUUUUUCUGCCUUUGAUUGGUUGGCCCUCUGGUGCUCAUGGGAAGACUUGUCAGGGGAGGAGAGUCCCCUUAGGGUAGUCAGUGACUACUCCAGAACCGCCAAGAGCUGGUCCUACUGCUUUUCUGAGACACGGCCAUCCCCUGCCACAGAGGCAGACACCCAUGGGCCGCUAAGAUUCAUACAAACGCUCAGGCAGGCUCUUGGAAGCAAUGUUGUGCUCUGAAUGGGGACCAGGGACAUGACCAGAAUAGAUGCAGGGGUAGGAGCUUGGCCUAGAUGUCUCUGUGUGAAUGUCCUCCUUGGAGGACUCUGGAGAUGAGUGAGUCACAGGAACUGGGGACAAAUCUAAGAGUUUGAAGAAGUUGGGACAUCCACAGGGCCCUGCUGCAGCUGCCCAGGUUCACUUUCCCAGAGAGAGCUGCUGGGCGGAGGGGUCCUGCAUGCUCACCUCCCGGAGAUAAACAGCGCCCUUAUUGCUGGCUGAGCAGACGCAGUCAGCCUGACUUUCCAAGGGGCUUUUCUCAUCCCUAAAGUUUAGUCUACUUUGGUUUAAUUUCAAAGAUGGUAUUGCUUUUGAGUCAGAACAUAAAAAUCCCCCUAGAUGCAGUCUGGAGCUUGUUGACUGUGGAGGAAAGGGGACACUGGGGGAGGGGAACAACUGGAACGCCCUCAAAGCUUUUCCUGCCUGCAGCCCUGACCAGCCUUCUAGGAGGUUCCAAGUCCCACAGGCACUCCCUCUCUCAUCUGAGGGUCUUCGAGUUAGGGUCAGUGUUUCAGGGCUGGGUGAUGGGGUGGUUUCUUGUGCUUUGAUGAAUCUGUCGUUGUUUCAAGACUCAGAGUCAAACAUGGCCCUCACACACACACGAGUGUAGGCUGGUUGACCCUCCAUGCCUUCCUGAGUAGCCUUCACAGGAUGACCUACAGGGGUUGGGGGAAAGAAAUACAGUUUAAUUUCUGUCUAUGCCAGUUUAUAUUUCGUGUGUGUGUGCAUGUGCGUGUGCCUGUGUGUGUGUGUGUGUGUGUGUGUGUGCCUGUGUGUGUGUGUGUGUGUGUGUGUAGUACAUGUGUCAGUCUGUGUCUUUUGGGAGUGAUUGUUUAAAAUGGACGCUCUUAGUCAAAUAGGCACAUGAACUGGAAAGGGAUGGUGAAUGCUGGUGCAGAUGAAGCUCUGGGUCGUGAGGAGAAUGAGUGUUUGGCAGUGUCCUAAGAAGUCUGGGGAGAUGCAUCUUAUGGGCAAGGACAGGCCAGACCAAGAGGAGGGAGGCCGUGGGCAGAGCCGCUAGCAGCGGGGCGCCACGCCUCUUUGCUUUGCAGGGAGCUGGUCCUCCUCGCACUGGAGCCUGGUCCUGGGAGACCCAAGUCUGAGAGAAAGUUUGGCUGUUAGCUAAGGUCUCAAUCAGUCAAGGGCCAGCAAACUCUACAGGCUGGGUAAGCAGACACAAGGUUGUCCGUCUCCUGGCAAUGGUGUCCUGGAGCACCGGGAGUGGAACUUCUGGGUUGAUCGCCAGCUUGUUUCCCUACUCACACCGUGUGGUGCUAGCUCCUUGACUCCCCCAGUGGAGGCCGGAUUUGUCCGGACUCUAGAAAUCUGACACCUGUACAGUGAUGUCUCAUUUUAAUUUGGGGUUCCCCGGUGGACCUGAGUAGGAGCCUCCUUUCAAGUAAGUCUGUUUGCCGUGUGGAAUUUCUCCGUUUUUGCAGUGGGCUCUUCACAUCCUCAGGCCACAUGGUGUCUGUGUUAGCAGAAGGAGGAGCAAGUGUGGCGAGAGUUACCCCCGCUGUAGCGUCACCAGUGAGGACUCUGGCGGGCAGAGAGGGGACCAGUUUGAACUGUGCUGCCAGAGGGAACUCACGCCUCAGAGGUGUGAGGGAUGCCCAGCCAGGAAGGAAGGUGUGCAUGUUUGGACCGAGGCGAGCCAGAGGUUGAGGGUGAAAAUUGAUAGAUACAUAGAGACUGGGAGGCGUCUGAUUGAGUCCUUAUGAGAUGACGUUUGAGGGCAAACUUGAGAAAGGUGGUUUCCUGAGCCACCAAUGCAGAAGGGUGACAGACGGUGAGGGACAGCAGACACCUGCAGUGGGGCAGUGGGCAGUGAGGAGUGUCCGUCACGGAGAGGACAGCAUCUGUGUCAAGGACAUAACAUGAUUUCUAGAUGAGGUUGAGAGGCACAGAGGAUGCUUUUCUUAGGCCCGUUCGAUGUAUUGAUUAGGAAUCCAUAACCUUGAAGGGCACUUAAGGGCUGGGCCUGAGCAGCCUGCUUCUAUAAACUGAGUGUGGAAGGGAACUGAGGCCACAGGAAGAGCGGGUGGGAGGAGUAUAAGGGAUACAGGUCAUCUUGGGACUCACAGCCCUCUCCCGGGCGCACUGGCCCUGACUUAACUUUAGUGAUGUUCAUUUGUUCAUUCGUUUUAUGCGCCAACAUCUCAUGUAAUCCAACCUUGAGCUCGCUAUACAAAUGGGGGCUGGCCUCAGACUCCUUAUCCCUCAGCCUCCCAAGUGCUGGGAUCCCAGACAUAUGCCACCACACUUAGCUUGACUUUCUCUUCAACACAAGUGGGUGGGUUGAGCACCAGUGACACCCACGUGCCUCCAAGCUUGUUUCCAGAUAUGUGGUCCUUGGUGAUGAUCUGUUCAAUGUCUCCCCGACAAAGGAGCCCUAGGGCCCAGGAGAGAUGGGAGCUUUUAUCUCCUAGAGGCUUGACUUUCGAUGUCUUAAUUGGCAUGAGCCUCCCACCCCCCACCGCUUCUGUCUCCUGCCAGUUUGGUCUCCUGUCUGUUUGGUGAGGCCUGCAGCUUGUAAGCACAUGCACUGCCUGGAAUGGCCUAGACCAGCAUAGUCUGGAAUCAUGACAGGAAGGGUAGAUGCAGCAAAGAACCCUGGGGACCCUUCACCAAAUAGCCAGUGUCCUUUACAGCAGGGCCACUCUUGGGAGGACUGACAGCGGUGGCCAUCAAGCAGCUUAAAGGGACACAGGGCACUGCCGUGGGCAAUAGGCCACACUUUUUAGCAGUUUCGAGCAUCUGUCCCAGGAAUACCAGGAUGGGGAGCUUCUUUUCUAACAACUUUUAGACUUCUGUGCCUCAAGUUUUUCUUUCUUUCAUUUCCAUAUGAAAGAACUGUCGAUUGUGACAAACACAGACGACAGCCUAAAAUUUAGUGUUUGGAUCUCAGGCUAAGACCUGAGGCCUCAGGCUCCAUGGUAGGGCCAGUGAGCAAAGGCACUGGCUGCUCAGCCUGCUCACCAGAGCUCAAUGCCCAGAACCAUGUGGUAGAAGGGAGAAGUGACUCCUACACGUCUGCUGAUUUUCACAGGCAUGCCAUGGCGUGCACACACACACAUACAAUAAACUAGUACAUAAAUGUGUGCACGUGGGGUUGGGGAUUUAGCUCAGUGGUAGAGCGCUUGCCUAGCAAGCGCAAGGCCCUGGGUUUGGUCCCCAGCUUCCCCCCCCCCCCAAAAAAAAAGAAAAAGAAAAAAAAUGUGUGCAUGUGACGGUGAGCUCAGUGGGGAGUGAUAGUAAGCGUGCGUGCUGUCAUGACGCUCUCCCCGCUAGUCUGACCCAUGCAGCCUUCGCUCUCCAUCGCUCCACCCUGAGCCCCGACAUUCACCUGUCUGCACCAGUCUCUGAAUUUGUCCUUAGAGGGACCACACAGAAGUGAAAGCACACUGUAUUUGUCUUUUUUGUGACUUAUUUCAUUUCCCCAAAUAUCCUCAAGGUUCAUCCAGGUGUCAGAAUUUCCUGCCCCUCUAAGUCUGAAUUAUACCUCACUGUGUGCAUAGAUUACAGCAGGCACACUGGUUGCUCCCGCCCCUGGCUAUAACAGCUACACACUGUGGUGAUCGAUCGAUCGUCAUUGUUGAUUUGACUGGGUUUAGAAUCACCGUGGACACACAUUUCCGAGUGUGUCUAUGAAAGCAUUUCCAGAAAAGUUAACCGAAGAGGAAAGACUCGCCCUGAAUGUGGGCAGCCCCAUCCCGUGGACUGUGUGCUCUUAGGUUGAAUAAAAGGUGAACUGAGCGCCAGCGUUCACCUCCUGGCUUCCUGACUACAGACACCAUGUGACCAGCCACCUCAGAGUCUUGCUGCCAUACUGUUUUGCCAUGAUGGAUUGUCCCCGCAAUCUGUGAACCAGAACAAACCCUUCUGUGCAUUGCUCUUGUUGGGUGUCCUGACACAGCAGCGAGAUGAUGAACUAAUCCAGAGAAGUAAUGCUCAGAGGCGGGGCUGGUUCGAUGAUUAACCUGACCGUGUGGUUUGUGGACCUUUAGAACUAGUUUGCAUGGGGAACAUGGAAGUUUGGAACCAUGGACUAGAACUCUGUAUACAGAACUAACUAUUCCUGUGGGAGUUUGGAACAAUGCAGAAAGAAGUGUGGACAGCGGAAACCUGGUUUAGGUUUCAGAGAGAACAAAUACUCUAUUGGGACUGGCUGGAAGCCGUUCAUGUUUUAUGCUAACAACAAAAUCUGGCUACAUUCUACCUGUGUCCUGGGCAUUUGAGUGUGACGUAAAGGUAACGAGCUAAUUCAUUUGGCAGAAGCAGUCUCAUCAGGUUAGCGUAUUCAGACGGUGGCCUGGCUAUUACUUACGACUCUUAUCCAGGUCGGUGGAGACAAAGAGCAACAAAGGGAGCAGAGAGGUAUGCGCUGUUUGGCCUGGAUAGGUGUGUGACAGAGUUUGAAGAUGUGUAUACGGAAGGCAUGGAGAAAGGCAGCUGCGACUGUUAAGGUGACCAUUAACAACAGACUUCAUGCUCUGCACUGGGACAAGAGGAAACCACCCUUAGCUCAAGACAUCCCAUCCCCCACCCCUCUCACACUGAGGGCUCCAUCUUGUAACAAGAGUAGCUGCCUUUGGAAGGACAGAACCGGAAAUGAGAAUGGAGAUGAAGGGUGCUCUGCUCCAAAAUGGCCACCUAGGCAAGCAUUUUCCCAGGCUCACCUUGAAGGCACACAGAGGCUACUGUGUUGGUGGUCCAAGGGGACUAGGCUACACCUUGAGCUGACAGCAGAACUCAGCCCUGUCAUCCAGGCUGAUUUUGUAGGCCUGAAAGAUUUGAGGGGGCAGCCACAGGGCCCUGCACCAAGGUCCCAGACAGCGAGGCAGUAUUCAGAAGGCUUAGAUUCCUCACAGGGAGGCCUUGAGAGAUCAUUGCAUGAACCCAGGAAGGCAAAGAGACCCCAGUUAUAUUGGAGGUGCUAAGAAGAGAGGGCGUCGGGCUGGGGAUUUAGCUCAGUGGUAGAGCGCUUACCUAGGAAGCGCAAGGCCCUGGGUUCGGUCCCCAGCUCCGAAAAAAAGAACCAAAAAAAAAAAAAAAAAAAAAGAAGAGAGGGCGUCUGCUAGGGCCUGGAGUAGAGCUGGUCCAAGAGUCUGUGUGCUGUAGGUGACAGCAGGGGGAGGGGACUAACCACCAUGAGUUCCAGAGGCCAAGUACAAAGGUGCAGGGGCUGGAGUUUGCCCUUCUGAGUCUUAGUCUUGCUCCGGUCUAGCAUUUCCACCCUACCUUCCGAUCCCCCGCUUUGGAGUGGAAAUGUUUAUCCUAUGCCAUUGUGUAUUGGAGGAUAUAUAACUUGUUUUUUGAUUUUACAGAUAGGAUGUUGCCUUGGGUCUUAGAAGAGACCUUGGUUUUUGAGUUGUAUUGGGGCUGUUAAAGACAGUGGGGACUUUUAGGAAUAGACUAAGUCUAUUUUUGCAUUAUAAAAUGGAAACGAGACAGUAUACAUCAGGGAAUGACCGUUACGGUUCAGUAGUGGUGUUCCUGAAUGCCAUGUAGGCAUAGGGUAGAGUUGUGAUGGGUAAUCGUCAUCAUCAGUGCUCUCCCAUCAUCAUCAUCAUCAUCAUCAUCAUCUUGGCUGUCCUAGAACUAGCUAUGUAACCAGGAUGGCUUUGAACUUAUGAAGAUCCAACUGCUUCAGCCUCCUGAGUGCCAGAAUUAAAGGCAUGCACCAUAACACCCUUUAGUAUUUUUUUUAAGUAUUUAGUGUGUGUGUGUUUCCUGUGUGUGCACCAUGUACGUGUAGAGGUCAGAGUUCAACUUGCAGGAGUCACUGUUCUUCUACCGUGUGGGAUCUAGGAACUGAACUUAGGUCAUUAGGGUUGGCAGCAAGCGCCUUUACCCAGCGAGCCACCUUGCCAACCCAUCUUGUUUAUUGACAUACGUUCUCUGACUGGCCUGGGGCUCUCUAAGUGGGCUAGGUAGCCAGCUAGAAGGCCCUGGAGCAUCAAAUCAAGUCUUUCUGCUCAUAGGGCAAGAACUUUACCAAGUAAGCAUCUCCCUAGCCCCGUCUUGAUUCUUAUCCUGCUUUCCCAAAGCAGGAGAGAGAGAAAGAGAGAGAGAGAGAGAGAGAGAGAGAGAGAGAGAGAGAGAGAGAGAGAGACAGAGACAGAGACAGGAGGAAGAUGAUGGACCAGCUGUUUCUGAUCACUUUUCAAGCACAUAUCUGAGUUGAGUACCGGCCUCCAUAUCCAAGCCUGACUUAGACGGUUAAAUGGCUGACUCUGGCAGAGCCUUCACGUUAACGUGCCAGCAUAACACCAGUCGCCACGUCUGUGGACUUGCCGCCCUUCCCUGCCUUUUGCAAUAGGUAGUGAAACUCUAACCACUUGGUAGGGAGAAGGCAUCUGCUCUCUGUUUGUAACACUUUCUGGUUCCCAUCCAGAAACCUGGGAGGUUGAGUGCGCCAGGGGAGGGACUUUCUGACGUGUGGUGUCUUCCCUGCCUCUUGCCUGGCUGCCGCCCAAUGUCCAGUCCUGUUCCCUGUUGUGUCACAGCCCCAGGGCCUUGCCACCAGGCCCCAGACAGUGUUUCACAUUCUUACCCCAAGUGUCCUUGUGUUCUGAGCAACUUUUCCAUUGACUCAGGCAAAAUGAAGGGAGUGGGGGUUUCUGAUAGCGUCUGGCUAAUUAUCCUUGGAGUGCGGUUUAAAAUUUCAGCCCAACAGUAUCAAAUCUAAGACUCUGACCCCCCACUAUUAAGUUCAUUGGCCUUCCCAUCUGGGACUGGGGCAGGGGUGAGCGGACAGUGGGUUCUCAAGUCCCUCUAAGACAAGCAAGGACUAGGGUUGACUAGUCGUCUCUGCCUCACAUUCAUUCUGUCUCCUUCUUGUUCCCCGUCUCCCUGUUUCUUUUCCCUGAAGCCGAUAUAGGCUGAUUACUGUGGUCAGAGAAAAACAUGGCUCCAGGGAGGCUAAGGAGCCACAGGUCCAACCAAACCUCAGGUUAGGGGAUAAUUAAGAGGGUCUCCCCGGUGUUAUGGUGGCUCCCAAAGAAGGGUUUGGACCUUGUCUCAGGUCAGGACCCCAGUGCCCUCCCCACCCCAUGCAACUCUAGGUAGCUGUGGCUAUCCCACCUCCCUAGUCAAACUGCAAAGAAGAGCAAGUGAGCGGGCGGAGGAAGGACAAACACUUCUUUCUCCCUGCAGGUCACGCUGCUUCAGGGAGCAGACCUGGAGACUUGGGGUGUGGGCAUGAGGAGGGAUGAGAUGUGCCUCUCGGGGCUCCUCUCCUAUUUCUGCUUAAUCCAGUGUCUACUCAUGGUGUCCUGAGGCCCUGAGAGUAGAGUAUCCCUGAAUGAGAGAGAUCCCAUUCCAGAAAAGGGUGGGCCUGAGGGGGAAGGUUCUAGUUGUGCUGGGACAGGAGGGGACCAGCACCUGGCUAUGUCAGCUGUUCCUGAAGCCCUACCCCACAAUGCCCCAGGACAGUACAGGACCCUGGUGGAGCCCUGGCUGCUCUCCUGCCAGGUUUGGUUGGAGUCUGGUGGGAAAUAGCUUUUCUUCUUUAAUGGCAAGUCUUUUCGUCUGAUGACGAGUUACUUAGGGGAGGGAGGGAGAGGAGGGGUUGGUGGAUCAUGGCUGGCAGGAUCCGUGAAAACUGUGCCCACCCUCAGCCUACCCCCUGCCUGGCUGAGGUUUCUGGUGAGACCUUCUAGUGGGACAUCACCCCUGCACCUGCCAAGCUUUCAAAAGUUUUGCAAACCUGGCUCAACGCUCCGUGCUGUGCUGGCCAUGACUCUGCUGCUACUGGGGCUCCCGUGUGUUCCCUGUCUUUCUGAGUGGGGUUCAGAGAGGUCCUUAGGUCUUGGGAAACACUCAGAGACAUAGGAAGGGAAUGAGUUACCUAUUGGCCUCCCACUGGCUUGUAGCCUCCAAUCUUGGAGGGCCCUUAAACUGCUGGGCCGAUGAUUAGCCUGUAAUUGUUCCCAGCAGUGAGGAGAGCGGCCUGUUAGGCCUUCGUGUUUGUUUUGCCUUCUGUGUUAGGCCAGUGGUAACCAAGGGCCGUUUCCCCUUGGUGACGGUGGAGCUGACUCCGGCCAGGACUGAUCCACGCAGCUCAGGCACGGCAGGCCUGGGGACCUGUGUGACAGCCACAUUCAGGACUAUACCCAGAUCUCAGCAGCCCGGUGCUUUCACUGUGCUCCAAAUCCUACCCCCCUGGUGGUGAAGACCCACCAACUUUCCUCCUGGCUUUUCUCCAAGGCACUUGCCUGGAACAUUCCAGAACUCUGGAUUUUGUGGUAGGUGUUGGGAGACUGCGAGGCCACUUGCUGGCCGGCCGCAUGUGGGUGGGUCUUGGACAGGCUCAUGGAUUUCAGCCAAGACGCAGGGUUGUGACUGACUGCCUGCCUAGGUUCCUGCAGGCCCGGGGUCCUGAGGUCAUCCCAGGCAGAGAUCCGAGGAGGAGAUGGCUAUGUGAGAGGCAGCUGCACACUGCUAUGGACACCAACCAGGGAAGGCUCUGUGAGGGGUGGGGGACAGCCAGAGCAGACCUGGAGAGAAGGGCUGCAGCUGAGCGUGGUUUGUUCCAGGGCUGAGAAUGGCUUUUAGCAGAUAUGGGGCCGGGAGGUCUCAGGGUCUGCCUGUCUGCCUGGAGUCUGGGAUAUUUGGAGUAGAGGAGCAUGAAAGGAUGGGUGAAGCCUGAGGUGGGCAGAGGGGAAGGCCUAUGGGUGACUAGAGGAGCAGCCUGAGGUGCUAUUCCCAUGACUUGUUUUCCCAGAUCCCUGUGACCACUGCCUUCUGUCAGGUGUAGGGACCACAGCCUGUUUUAUGUGCCCCACCCUGCCCACCUCUAUGGGUCUGGCAAAAGAGUCAUAAAACAUUGUCUGCCACCUCUGUCCCACAGUCAGUCGGUUGUGUUUUAGGAUCAGCUUCCUGGAGGGGGAUGAAGCCCUCCCUCUAUGUAAAGCAGGGGUUCUCAACCUUCCAACCGCUGGGAUCCUUUAAUAUAGUUCCUCCUGUUGUAGUGAUCCCUCAACCAUAACGUUAUCUUUGUUGCUAUUGUGUAACUAUAAUUUUGCUACAGUUACGAAUCCCAAUGUCUGUGUUUUCUGAUUGCCUUUGGCAACCCCCUCCCCUGUGAAAGGAUUGUUCAACCCCCAGGUUGAGAACCAUUUCCUAGUAUCUUUUUAAUGUAUUUCCUGUAAGCCUCUGACUCCCAAAGAGGCCACCGGACAGCCCCAACCCACCUGAGCAUCGUCACCUGUGGCCAAUCAGUGAGGAGCUAGGGUGGGACCCGAGCUCAGCAUUUUCAUCCAGUUCUAGCCUGCCGGACAGUCACAAGGUGUUGGGCAAGCCAGGUGACUGGUCCCCUCCUUUAUAAAGUGACAGCUUGCCUGUGAUGCGGCCACAGGCAGAAUUUCCAGGCUGUCUGGUUUUCCGGUUUGAGGGCCUGGAGAGGGAGCUGUCAGUUGGGAGAGAUGGGGUGCAGGGAGUGGGGCUGAGCUCCCUGUGCAACUUUCACACCGGUCUCUGCCACCAGUCCAGCUGCCUAGGCCAUUAGGCCUCUGUGUUUCAUUGUAGCUGCGUUGUGAAAAUGCAGGUCCUGGCGGCUUGUUUGGUUGGCAGGUCUUGUCGGCUCAGCAGAAAAGAGAGGCUUUUGAUAUGGGAACGGAAACUCAGACAGCGGUAGAGCUCUGCAGCGCCUUUGGUAGGAGUGGGGAGUGUGGUCCAGCUCCAGCUGUGGAAAUCUGAGUCCAGCAGGCGGGCAGGCAGGCUUGCAGCAGGGUUCUGAGGAGGGGUCUCCCACAACAGGUCUGGUGGCAACUGCACAGCUGUGAUGUGCUGAGCCCUCCUGCGGCCCCUUCAGGAGGCAGGGAAGUGCUGGAAAGGCGACUUGCAAGCUGAUGUUCUUAUGUCCUGGGAAACCAGCCUGCUGAGGACCUACCUUUCUGACAUGCCUAGCUGUUUAUAGAGCUCUCUGCCAGCAAGGCGGGAGUGUGGAGUCUUGUGUAUGUACCUGGGGUGGGAGGAGCUGGGCUAAUUAAAGUGGCCAGUCCUGGCCUUGCUUAUGUUCCUAGGCUGAGCUGACUGUUGGGACAAGCAGUCUCUUCCUUCUCUCCAUCGGUUGCCAUUCUGGGUCAGCCCGUUAAAUGGCUAUUCGGCCACUUUCCCCUGUUCCCCUUUCACGUUUUUCAAGAAGUGAGAACUGGAAAAGACGGUCCCCGGAUCCAAAUUGCUUUCCUAAGAAACUUCCAUGAUGCCCAGCUUUGGGCUGCCUCGCUUCAGGGAGCAGAGGAAGGGGAAGGGUCCCUCCUCUCCCAGACCCUGGGUGAAGUCCCCAGGGGCUCUGUGACUGUCACUGAGUUCAAGAUGGCCCAAGGCAGCCACAGAGCUAAGUCACACCUCCAGACAGCUCUUCUUUGCCUAGAUGACUGAGUUUGGGAUAGGGGAUGAAUUUCCAUGUCUGUGUCGAAUCCUUGUCUCAAGAGACACACCCAUCUGCUUGCUUUUCCCUCCCCCCACUAAACUGGAAAUGUAUGUCCAGUGUUGUCUGUUCAGUUGUUUUUAGUGUUGGUUGGCUGGCAUGCCAUGUGUGUAAGCAUGUGCAUGCCUAUUGUGUGCCAAGAACUUUCUGGGGAGAUGCAAUGCACACACCUACUCACCCCACCUAGAGAGCACACCACAAAGUCCAACUUGAUAAACCAGUAAGUUUUAUUAGAGUUGCUUACAGGAAUGUGGGUGAGGGG